UUUUUUUUGGCAAUGAACUGUAUCUGAUACAUUUUUCUCCCUUCCUCCACCUGAAAGAGAUGUAGUGAUGUUUUACAGUCCAGCCUAAGCGACACAGCAGAUAAAUGCAAGAACCUUCCACCUGAAUUUAGAGCAGAAACAAAAGAGAAAAUUGCCAGCUGCUUCUCUGGUGUGGGAUAUAAAGUUUGAGACAGGUACUUAGUGUCAUAACUGGUAACAUGUAGAAAACUCCAGAGCAAUUUUCUUUUCAAAUUUCUGCCAUGGCUAGGACUUGAUUUGCGAUACAUUUGGUUAUCAUGCAAAGUACUAUAAAAAUCUAAAAACUAAAACUUAAAAAAUAGAAAAUAAAAAAAAAACCCAACCACAAAAAAUGGAACUUAGGGUCAUGCAUUAGCACCUGUCCCUUACACUGGCAUCAAAUCCACUGUCAAGUGUAAAAAGGAACAUCUUUAUUCAGGAAAACAGCAAUGAAAAUAUAGCAGGUUUGAAACAAGGGAAAUAUGAUUUGGUGAUUUAAUAAUCACCAAAUCUUAGUAUUGGAUUUGCUUUGGUUUGGGUUUUUGUUUUUUUUUUCCUAAGAGGUGAUUGCUCAAAGUACUGUUGCACUCUAUCUCUUUAACACUGUUUAGCCUCUGGAGAAGGAAAACUGUGUCAGUGUUCAAAUUCUAGAGGUUUCUUCCUUUUGCACUUCCUUGAAUUAAGUUUUUCUCUUAUUUUUUUUUCCUUGAACACCACUACUGGCGUAUGUUGCUACGUGAGUUUAGAAUUUUACCUUUUUAGCCAUUGUCGAUGAAUAUGGACCGUGAAAUACAGCCUGUCAUUUGAUAUUGGCUCCACCAUUAUUGUACUGAUGGCACACCUACUGGAAUAAGAAAGAAAAUGUUUUGUCCAGCAGAAGUACAUCAUCGCACCGAAGAUCCCUGGCAGCGAAUACUUCAGCUCAUGCAGGAAAUAACCAACUAGAAUCAUUAAAGGAAUUACUUUUGUGAAGUGAACGUAAUAGCAAAAGGUGUAUCACGGCAGUUGUGUUUUCAGCUGGUGUUUUACUGUUCCUCUCCACCCGUGCAGCAGGAAAAGCCUGGGCAGGAGGUGUGCUGGAUUUCCUCUGUUGCUUUGCCCAAGUGCCUUUUGGUUUGUCGACACGUGAAAGGAGUUACAGGGUAUGGCAGCGUGUGAAUGCAAAGUCCCAUAACUACUGUGGACUGUCUCCUUGUGAAGCAGUCAUAUCGAGGGAAAUUUAUUCCAGUUUCAUUUAACACAAAAUAAAUGAUGGCAAUUCCUCAGUUGGAGGAAUUUAGCUAUUCUGGAAUUGGGUCGUCAUCUCCAACACUAGACCAUCCCUCAAUCAUGUUAUCUAAAUUCUGCUUUUAAGGAUAUUCCUCUUUUUUAAUCAUGUAGUUUGAUCCUGUCUGUCUUUCUGAGGCGUUGUAGAAGACGUGCUUUGGCAAGAGAUGUUAAAAAAACAUUGCUAACAUGUCCAAAAAAAGAGUCUUGCUCUGAAGUGCUCCUGUUCUGAACUUAAAGGGGGCUUCCGUACUGUCUGUACAAAAUAGGUGUGGGAUGGCAUGUAGGUAGAAAUGUCAUUCUUUUGGUCACAUUAAAAAUUAAUAUGAUAAUUUUAGCAUUUAAAGCAUCUUCCCAACUCUUGAAGGCUUCAAUUCAAUAGUGUACUUGGAUAAUCCUGAGCUGCCUGGCUAGAUACCUGGAUGGAAAUGGAUGGGGUUUCUGGUGUUUAAAUUACGCACAUGAUUAAGUACAUUAGUGAGCAGGACUUGUAUGGAAGAGCAGUUUCGCAUAGGAGUGUGGACCUUAAAAUCCCCGUGCACUUGGAGGUCCAAAAAAAAAAACCCCAAAACAAACCCCUUGUAUUUACUGCCUGAUUCUUUCUUGGGGCUGUCACGCCAGCUUUUCCAGAUACAAGAUGUCCAGUGAUCGUGGUACACAGUGGGUAGAAUUCAUCUCACUGAAUGGUAGCUCUCUGAAAGUUAGACAUGUAGUUUAAGGGAGGAAUCUGGGCACCUCUAGAGAGCUAUUUAUCUCCUCCUAAGAUAGAUAUUUCAGGAAAGCAGAAUGAAUCAUUUUCUGGAGAUCCUCUCGGGAGACUGUGUAAGCUGUGAUUUAGCUCAGGUUAGAUAUUUGGCUUUAGAAUACUAAACUGAGACUCAUUUCAUCCAGUGUUGUCCUACCUAUCUUGGAAUAGCAAAAAACAAGACAGGAAUGACAUCCAUCCCCAGACGUCAAAACCCUCCAAAAUCCAUCCAGAAAGAAACAAAUUAAAGAGAUGCUGACAACUUGAAAAGUCAGUGUUUUAAAUGCCAGGAUCUACUUCUGCCCCCAAGUCUCUUGCGAAUGCUGGUGAUGUCUUUUUUUAUUUUUUAAUUUUUUUGGUGAAAAUGCAUCCCCUUUCUCUGUUCUGAAAUCUCAUGUACCUGGCUAUAUGUAUAGUUCUGUAAAUGCAUGACAUUAAGAGGAAAAUGUAAUUAAUGUAUUGCAGCUAUUUUGAUAAUCUUUUGUAUUGCUAUAAUUAAGACUAUGACUAGUUUAACUGCUCUCCUGUCAUCAGAAAUGUUACCCACUGUGCAUUUGCAAAAAUUAUGUGUUUAGUCCUGGUUCUGACUGUGUGUACUUAUUGCAUCUUACAGGAUAUGUUUCCCACGUCACAUCUGCAGGACUAAGACAUUUACAAAAACUAGACAAAAUGUAGCAUUUUAUUAUAUGGAGUAUGGGGGUGACUUUCUAUAUAGAUUUACAUGUUCAUUAAUACUCUUUUGCAAUGAUUCUGUAAGUUGUAGCUUUUGAGAUUACUAGGCUAGAAAUUCCAGGUUUAAUGCAUCUGUACACCCUGUGUUAGACACAGUCAACAUUUAUCCCAAAUGGAGGCAUUUGUCCUUCACCAAGAUGGUGAUUUCUGUGAUUUUUUAGAUUUCUGGCUUGAUAAUGAAAUCCAGGAAGGGCUGUUUGUUAAAUAUUACCAGGAGUGGGACAGGUUGUGAGAACUGACAUGAGGAAGGGCUGAGGCACGAGUGGUGUGUGUUACAGAUCCUCUUCAUCGGCAAAGAAGGGCCUCGGCAAGAGGUGGCUUUUUUAAGAAGAAUCAGCCUCAGCAGUAGCAGGCAGUGGUGAGAUUUUCCUUUUCAGCUAAUGGACUAAGUAUUGUUAUUAUUGAGUUAUGUAGCUGUAGUUUCGCCCUGUCUUGUUUUCACUUAAGAAUGAUAAAUGGCACAGUUAGGACAGACAAAGUUAGGAUCCUUUGUGAGGAAUGCAGUUUUUCUCUUGCAUGUUCUGUUCCCCUUUUCUAAAAACAAACAAAUAAAAAAGCCUCAACUACUUGAAAGCCCUCUCUUUUUCCUUGGAUACUGAAGAAAUGCAAAUGUCAAGAAAGUUGAGAAGAGAAACAAAGGAGACUUAUCCAGAUUUAUCUGGAAACUCAUGAAAGGGUGGCCAGAGCUAUUUAUAGACGUGAGAAAGUAAGUGCAUCUUUCUAGACCAGCUGUUUUCUUUCCCAGAAAUUUAGUUUCCCGUAUAAUUUCACAUGCUCAUACUUUGAAAUCAAGAAUUAGUGUUUAGAUGCUCUUAAUAUUGACCUUUCAUGUACAUACCUGCGCGGUAAUUCCGGAUGUCUCCUUCUCUCAUUUUUAUGAACUACAUAAAAAAUAUUAUUUCUUCACCUACUGCUGCCCAUCUGCAUUUUUUGGUCCUUUUUUUGAAGACAAACAAACUGUGGUUUUGAGGUAAAAACAGUAAAGAGAAGGCUGAAGGGAAACCUUAUCAAUGUGUAGGAAUACCUGAAGAAGGGGAGUGGUGAAGAAGAGGGAGGCAGAUUCUUCUCAGUGAUGUCCACGGACGGGACAAGAGGCAAAUGGGCACAAACUGAAACACAGGAGACUCCAUCUGACCAGAGGAAGACACAUUUUAUGGUGAGGAUGACCAAAAGAGCCUGUGGAGUCUCCAUCCUUGGACAUACUCAAAAGCUGUCUGGGCGUGGGCCUGGGCAACCAGCUCUAGGUGGCCCUCCUUGAUCCAGGGGGCUAGACCAGGUAACCUCCAGGGGCCCCUUCCAACCUCAGCCAUUCUGUGACUUGCCUUUUGGUUCUUCUGUUUGCUGAAGACGAUAGGGAGGAGAAAUGAAAUGGUACCUAUCUUAAGAAACUUGCAGUGUCACAAGAAUCUUGUUCAUUUAUUCAUUUUGUUUCUUUUUUUUAAGGGAAAUUCUAUUUUUCUUGGUUGAGGUUAGUAGGAAAAUCUGAACGUAACUUAUUAAAAUUUUGCUAGUGUUUUCAACAUACAGUUCUGUGAUGCACAGAGCACAUGUAGUUAGUUUCCAGGAGUAUUAUUGUCACUCUGAAGUCUGAAAGUCAGGCCAAGGACUGAGAUAAAUAUCCCUGUUCUUGGGUAUUGACAGUAGUUUGUGUUUAGAAACUGAGUUACCUGAGUUCCUAUAUUAGGAAAAGUUUAGUUUGCAUAUUUUUAGUAUUUGUUUACACAGAUUUUAUAAAAAAUUUGGAUUACCAUGGUUUAGGUGCCAGUUGUUUCUGCUUACUUGAUUGGAAGCUGGGUAUAGUGGUUAGCUGUUCAGAGUGUCAAAAAACGAAAAUUUGAGUUCAGAUGAAAAAGAGGACAAAGUUUAUGAAACACUGAACUGGCUGAGCAUUUUAGGGAGAUACUGUGUAUAAUUGUGAUGAAUGACCAUCUUUUGUGCACUAUUUCCCAUUAUGCCCUUGUCAGGAGCGGUUGGACAGUGCAGUCAGUCCUUUGCUUGGCAUCAGGAGAUGGGUUCUAUCAGACCUUGGUCUUUUCAGAUUUAGUUUCUUCAGGGGGGCGCCGCAGGUUUCUGCACAUACACACUCUUCAGAAGCUAAUAGAGGCAAAUUAAAAUAGUUGGUUUGGUUGUGAUUUGGAAACCAAUGGCUAGUCUAUGUUUGGAGUAAUUUUGGAAUAGUUGCUGAAAAUUAAUUACAGUAACCAGAAACUGGUGUGUUUGUGAGGGUGGGAGGGCAUGCACUUUGAGAUUUAACUGUUGUAUACAAACAAGUCCUAAUCACCAGCUGUCCCUUGAGGCAUCUUAACAAGAUCAAGGUGAUGGUCUCACUCUCGUUCUUCCUGGUGAGCACAAAGCCACUGCAGCUCUUGAGAGAGCCUUUGGCUUCUGGGUUCAUCUCCUUACCAGGCAGGCAGUGGAGCUGGGGUGUGCUGAGACUGGCCUGGUCUCUCGUGUGCAUGAAUUUUCCGGGGAAAUUUCCUGCUCCCAUUUAUUCUUAUGUGCAGACGAGAAGGAAUGGCAUCUCCAAAUUUAAAUCUUCAAAUUUAAAUACCUGAACCCAGCACCUGAUUUAAUUUAAAAAUAAGACUUCUCCCUGCACUGCCUCAAAUAACCAGCAAUAAAAUACUUGCACUGUAUUUAUGAUUUAAGAGCAUGCUACAUUUUCUGCCACAACAGUUUGAGUAGUGUUACAACGCACUCCUGCUGUGUUACCUUUUAAAGGGACUAAUUUUUAUAGAAGGUGGAAGAGCAGCGAUAGAGGGAACGGUUCCGGACACUAUCUGUAAAUUGCUCUGCUAUGCCAGUAACCACCAGAAGCAAGUUAUGCCUUUUUUUUAAUAACAAGUUGAGAAGGACAAAAGGGAUAAUUGCCUCUAAGCACAUUUGCAGUAGCUGGAGGAUAUUUGUAUUGUCUAGUUUCAAAUAUCUAGGGUAGGUACUAAAGUUAGGAAAAUAGUAUCAUGUGAUCCCUUCGCUCUGGAGAGAGAGGUUCCUCCACAAGGUGAUUCAGACCAGAUCAGUCUUAAACUGUGGUCCUGAAUUGACCUCUGGAGGAGCUGAGGUCCACGCAGGCCAUGUAAAACUUCUGUGGGAGACUUCAGCUUCCUGAGCUGUGCGUGCUCUCCUGCCACGUGUGGAUUCAGAGUGAGGUGCUCCCUCUUAGCCCCCUCACUUCUCUUGCUUCCAUCACAGGACACCGCUUUCUUUCCUGUGUUGGUUGGACUGUAUCUGAUUGCUCCCUAUAAAAUGUCUUGGCUAAAAAUAGAAAACUUCUUGUUUUCUAAUAGCUGAGUGUUUAAAACUACCUUUUUUUUUUUUUUCCUUACAAGUUGGGCAUUAAAACCUGAAGAAGAAAGGGGACAAUAAACUCCAGUGAAAAGAAUAACAAGCAGCAGAUGGGAGCACGUUAGUUGUGUGAUAUUAUUAAUUUUAACUAGCAGAAAUGAGGACAGCCACUUUCGAUGGUGUUCCAAUGCUCCUUAACUUUUAGAUCCUGUCACUACUGCAUCCAAAAGGUGUCCAAACUGAGGUGGUUUAUUUUCCCCUCAUAAUGGUGGUUCAAGCCCUAAAGUACAAAAUGCUGCUGUGAACAUCUGAGAACAUGCCAACUGGCUUCAAUAAAUUUCCUAACUAAGGUCUCAAAGGAGAAACAAGACGUUGGAGGUGUAGAUUAGAAAGGCAAAGAAGAGCACAUUUAAAGCAUGGUGGAGCCAGUGGUUGGCAAAAGCAAAAGUGGGAGGUGAGGACAGUGAUUCAUGGAUGUGUAUUUCUUGGCUGUUUCCUGAUGUUAAGCUACAUUGUCCCACAAAGUUAAUGUCUGCUGCUUUGUACCCUUUCAGUCCUAAAUAUGGAAGCAUAGAAUGGUUUGGGUUGGAAGGGACCUUAAAGAUCAUCGAGUUCCAACCCCCCUGCCCUGGGCAGGGACACCUCCCACUAGACCAGGUUGCUCCAAGCCCCAUCCAGCCUGGCCUUGAACCCCUCCAGGGAUGGGGCAUCCACAGUCUCUCUGGGAAACCUGUCCCAGUGUCUCACCAUGCUCUCAGUAAAGAAUAUAGUCAAUGUUCCAAAGGCUGUGUCAGUGUGUGCAAUCUCAGGUCUCAGAUCUGUUCCCUGUGCUGUCAUUCCAUGUGGUACACAUUCAGCAUUAACCCCAUUUUUCAUUCUAUGCUCCUCUUCAUGUGUUAGCAGUGUUUCCCUUAGUAUCUUCUGUAUAUUUGUUUUUAAUAUUCCCCUCUGAGGCUUGUGCAUUCUUUUUAUACUUAUGCAAAUACUUGAUUACAUUUCAAAAUAAUGUUGUUUUCCCCCUCUCGGUGUUCUGCUCGACCAGUAGUAAACGGGAGGUAAGUUAUUAGAGUAUUGCUCCUGUUGAGGUGCCACCACCGUGUCUCCUCUCUCUGUGUGAGCCCAGAGGUCUCUGUGCAGGAGCAGACCUGGCUCCUCCUCGACUGAACACCUUCCACUCCUACCACUUAAAAGGUGUUUGUGGUAUAAGGCGAGGGUUUGGCUGAACCGAUGUAGAACAGAGAUGUUAGCCCCACAUUUAUAAAUGAUUGAGUUUAUUACUGCUGACUCCAAGAUACUUUCAUUUUGUCUUAAAAAAUUAAUUACUUAUUUACUCGCCAGUUAUUUCCAUUUAGUAAAUUAAGCCUGUUUUACUCUGACGCAUCGGCUCAUUUAAAAUGUCAUAAUACUGUGUUGAACCAUUUUAUUCGGGUUACUGCCAGUGUAAAGAAGUUGGAAUUAAUGUCCUCACUGGGUUGUCAGUGUCUGCUAAUUCAGAGAUGACAGAAAUGUGUUAAAAUGUAUUCAACCUAUAAUAUUUAUCUUGCUUUGCACUUAUUUUGUUUCCCUUUGACUGUGUUGCAAAAUACCAAGUGUACAUAAAAUAAUGAAUAAAUAAACCAAAAAUAAAUUAUU